AUAAAGUGCUCUCUGAUUGAUUGAAGCAUAGAACAGUUGCACCUGCUAAGAUCACGUUACUCUGAGGUGCGUGGACUGCCAUAGACUCUCAUUGACUUCCUGAAUGAGCACCUCACUCAAUACACUUCUCAAAUGAUCAGAAAGCAGUAGGACGUGUUUCAGAUUCUGCUGGGCUAAUCCUGGAUCUGGUGGUGCAGAGAGGAGCUCAUGACCAAUGCUGACCCAGGAGAGUCUCCUGUUUGAAAAGGUCAAGCUAACUCUCCAGGUUCUGCCGGAUAAAUUGAGGUGAAAAGGGCUAAAUGAGGCUCCUGAUCUUGUUAUGCUUUCCAUGCACAGAAAGAUGGACAACUCUGGAUGGGAAGAGGAUUCCUUCUCACAGAAAUCAUGCUUUUUAAAGCACUUCCUAAUGAGACCCCUGGCCCAAGCAAACUGACUGAGAACAUGAAGAGCGCAUCUUCUCAGGCGGCACUGGAACCUGCUGAAGUUUGGACUGAGCUUGGUAUCUGCCGUGCUGUUCAGAGCAGCCGGGCUGGCAGCGUGCCUGCAGUGCAUCCCCGCCGCUGUUUCCAUAGCAACUGCUCUUCCUCCAGAGCAGAGACGAAGGUCCUCGGGGUGCACAGCCAUCCUUGCCCCCACACUGCGCCCAGCAACAUCAAUCUGACAAGCAUUACAGGCACUGGAUGGUGGAGCCGUGGGGAGAGAGGCAGACUCUGAUUCCCCGUUACCCGUGGUCACCAUGGUAGGCACAGCAGUGCCAUCGCAAUGGAUCCUCAUUAAAGGAUUUAAAGUGUACUCAUUCCAAUUACAGGGCCUCAAAAGAGUCCUGUAUUGUUAUUUUUCGUCACUACCUCCCGGGGUCGGGAGUGGGUAAUUUGCGCACCUGCUGCCUUCCUUGGACGUGGUAGCCGUUUCUCAGGCUCCCUCUCCAGAAUCGAACCCUGAUUCCAGACGUUGCUUGUGCAAAUCAGGUUAGAAUUAGUGAGCAGUUGUGGUGAGAGAAAAAGAGAGGCAGAUAUUAGAAAUAUUGAAAUGAUUCUUUCUAGAAAAAUAUGUAUAUUAUAUUUCAUUUUCAUAGUUUUUAGUCCAAUCAUUUGAAAUUUUUGUUUCAAAAUAGCUUUUAACUUUUUAAAAACUUGACCUAAGUAAAACGUGGAGAAAAAGGUUAAAUAAAUGGUCAAAUAACCGCCA
rnacentral:lncRNA from 1 species